UUAAAGAUAGUUUAAUAAAAAUAUUAGCUUUGGGAGUUAAUGAUCAAAGGUAACUUUGUCUUUAAA
rnacentral:tRNA from 1 species